AUGGUAGUAACACCAGGUCAGCCUUUAACCAUCUCCUGCAAAGUCUCUGGGUAUUCCCUGACUGAUGGCAGCUACUGUACAAACUGGAUCCGACAGCCUGCAGGGAAAGCUCUGGAGAGGAUUGGGUACAUUUGCUCUGGUGGAGACACUGGUUAUAAAGAUUCACUGAAGAACAAGUUCAUCAUCUCCAGAGACACCUCCAGUGUUCAGGGUGAGAUUGUCCUGACAGAAUCUGAAGCAGUGGUAAAGAGACCAGGAGACUCUCACACACUGACCUGUACAGCCUCUGGGUUCACACUCAGCAGCUACUGGAUGGGCUGGAUCAGACAGGCUCCUGGGAAGGGACUGGAGUGGUUGGGAUCUCAGGCUGGCAGCUAG